rnacentral:tRNA from 1 species
AGGGGCAUAGUUUAACGGUAGAACAGAGGUCUCCAAACCUCCGGUGUGGGUUCGAUUCCUACUGCCCCUGCCA